UACGUAGGGCGCAAGCGUUGUCCGGAAUUAUUGGGCGUAAAGAGCUCGUAGGCGGUCUGUCGCGUCUGUUGUGAAAACUCGAGGCUCAACCUCGGGCCUGCAGUGGAUACGGGCAGACUAGAGUGCGGUAGGGGAGACUGGAAUUCCUGGUGUAGCGGUGGAAUGCGCAGAUAUCAGGAGGAACACCGAUGGCGAAGGCAGGUCUCUGGGCCGCAACUGACGCUGAGGAGCGAAAGCAUGGGGGAGCGAACAGG
rnacentral:rRNA from 1 species